GUUUAGAUCCCGCAGCGUUAAGUAUCCCCCGUGUAAAAGGAUGAACUGAGACUCCCAGAGGGCAUAACUGAUGGAGGCACGAAGAUAUCUGCUCUUCAGCUUUGCCAAGGCAGUAUGUUGUUGUAAGGAGCUUUGGGGAAUCCAGACAGAUCGGGACUUCACACACCUGUCAUUUAUUUCACUACUAGUGAAAUGUUGGCAUAGUUAUGUCUAAGUUCUCUGAGACUGUCCCUCAUCUCUAAAACCACCCCUCCUUUGGUGAACUAAGGAUGGCGAUAACGCUUUAUGUAAAGUGCCUGGCCAGAUACUCAAUAAAUGUUAAUUUUCCAAACUUAUACAUACAUCAGUCACUACGUUCUCCAAACAUUUCCAUAUCCUGGAGAAAGUUUCUCUCAAUUAUUUGGAAGAGUGGAAGUGAUAUGCCCCGCCCCCCCAAUCCAUUUUCUCCAUUCUUCAUACCAUUAAUGCCUUCUAUUUAUGGUUUUGCUUACUAGUUAUAACCCCUAUCACCCAGCCAACAAAACAGAACAACAGCAACAAAAUAUUCUGCCUACAUCUCUGUGCUUCCAAAUUGUUUAUGCACAUACUUAAAAGAACAUUUAUUGAAUUGAAUUUCAAUGACUUGUUCUGUGUCUCUCUCAUCUAGCUGUAAACUCUCAGUCUUACUCAUCUUUCUAAUUUCAGGGCUUAGCAAGGUAUUCAAUAACUAGAAAGUUUAAAUUCAGGUUGAAUGGAUGAAUUAAGACAGAAUAAUCAUUUCUGUUUACAAGGGAACCAUACCUUUUUACAUAGACAAAUGCUUAUAAAGGUAUUUGAUCCUGAUUUAUGUUUGUCUCCAUUUCACCUUCAGAUGGGCCACCUGUUUGAAAUCCAACAGCUGGUGGGAGUUUCAGGUACACUGCAUUUGCUUUUGCUAUCCUAUUGCACUUGGACUUGGUGCAGCUACGACCUAAUGCAGAACACAAAGUAUGAAGCUACUGUACUGUCAGGGCCAGAACUAAACCUGUAUAAUUGAUAGGAACCUUCUGGGUGCAUGGUGAGUGGAUCUUCUGAUGAGAUACAUUUAAUGUGUUCCCUGUUGGUGGCUUCUAGUAUGGCCGCCAAGGAUGUGGCCAAGAAUGGCCUGUAGUCCAAAAGCCUGCCAAGAUUGCAUCAUUGAAACAAUGCUUCCUACCAGGUGGAGAGAAAAUACAGUAUUCUUAUCCAAGACAUAAUAGAGGCCAGAGUGCUGAACAACACUAUCCAUCAGUUCGAUAGCCCUGUAGGGCUGGGGAAGUCACUAGUAUAUGCAAUCUAACUGUGCCCUGUUGAGGCUUAAACAGGUAAGUGGCCACUAUUCUUACAAUGUCUGAUAUCGUAAGAGUGGCUGAACUAGAAUUGGGCCAUUAGUGUAUACUUGGCAUGCAGGCUUGGAUAGAUUAAUGCUGGGGUUUGUUGUUUUGUUUUGUUUUGUUUUUGUUUUUUUAGAGACAGGGUCUGGCUCAGUUGUCUAGGCUGGUCUCCAUCUCCUGGACUCAAGCGAUCCUCGCACCCCGGCCUCCUGAGUAGCCAGAACUACAGGCUUGUGCCACCACACCCAGCUAA